GUAACGGUGGCUACACUCUUGUUAAAUCUCACGCUUAGAUCUGUGUGCCCAAAGUUGUGUCGCAGUUUCAUCAACACCAGGAGAAUUUGGUCCUCUAAUGUCAUCGUUGUGACCUUGAAGGAGAAGAGUGAUGGGGUCUGGUAUCAUCAGGCAAGUUGAUCCGCUUCCCUUCAUUCCAUGGAAACCUCACUGGACCUGCUUUUUUGCCAUUAGGGAAGUGCCACGAA